CAGCAGCCGCGGGAAUACGAAGGGGGCUAGCGUUGCUCGUAAUCACUGGGCGUAAAGGGUGCGUAGGCGGGUCUUUAAGUCAGGGGUGAAAUCCUGGAGCUCAACUCCAGAACUGCCUUUGAUACUGAAGAUCUUGAGUAUGGGAGAGGUGAGUGGAACUGCGAGUGUAGAGGUGAAAUUCGUAGAUAUUCGCAAGAACACCAGUGGCGAAGGCGGCUCACUGGCCCAUAACUGACGCUGAGGCACGAAAGCGUGGGGAGCAAACAGGAUUAGAUACCCGAGUAGUCCCUGUCUCUUAUAC
rnacentral:rRNA from 1 species